ensembl:lncRNA LINC02457 long intergenic non-protein coding RNA 2457
GCAGUGCUGGAGAUCCGUCAAACGUCCUAUGCUGGGCACCUUAUGGGACGCCAGAAAGGACGAUGCCGGAAAUGAGCUAUGGAGACAGGGCCACGCAAGGUCAAAGUGAGCCUUGAGCUGUAGCUUGGGGCCGGCCUGAAGACUUGAAGGGUUUGGGGCAGGGCAGACCUGUACCUUAGGACCAGCGCGGUGGCGCUGUAGGUGACGACGUCUCGGAGGAGGUCAGCACCGCCCUCCAAAUGUCCAGUGUGAGGAUACAACUGGGAACUAAAGCUGGAAGAUGCCAGACAUUCAGCAGGGAGUUCCCUCAUCAGCAGCUGGCUAACUGGGGAACUGAAAGUCACAAGGCGCUCGUUUCUGAUAACUCCAUGAAAAUUCACUCUGGGUCAGAAAUCAAUCUUUGGAGUUCUGAACAUGCAGCUUUUCUCAUGGGCCUUUUGGAGAACAAUCAGCUACUCAGCCAUCAGAGCCUUUUUUGCUGGAUGGCAGGCAGGAACUGACAGCAAACCAUCGUCUCUACAACACGCAGAAGAUCAGCACCAAGUCUCCAUUCUCCGAAAACAUGUGUCCAUGCAGCUCUCCCAGGGGAGGUCUGCGCUGCAGUGGAAGGCCCCAGGAGCGUGGGAGCCAGCUCAUCGCAUGAAGGAAACACAGAGUUGUACCUCCAGAUGCCAGGCGGAGCGGCGACGUGACGCACGGUGGACGAGGAGCCAGGAUGCCCAGCUCUGCUACCAACACAGAGUGGGAAUUUGCACACCUCACAUGGUGUCAGUUUCCAAAUGCUGCUGUAAUCAAUUUCCACAAAGUGGUGGCUUAGAAAAACAGACAUGUAUUCGCUGACAGUUCUGGAGCCCAGAAGCCUGAAACCAACGUGAGGGUUCUAGGGGAAGAUCCUCAUUUGCCCCCUCCCAAUUUGGUAGUUCUGGGUGUUCCUUGGCUUGUGGACUCAUCACUCCAAUCUCUGCAUCUGUCUUCACAUUGCUUUCCCUGCUUCUCUGUGUGUCCAUUCUCUGCAUGUCUAAUUUGUAAGGAUAUGAGUGAUUGCAUUUAGGGCCUACUUGGGUUAUCCAGGGAGAUCCCCUCAUCUCAAGAAAAUUGAUCUAAUCAUGUCUGCAAAGACCCUUGAUCCAGAUAACAUUCACAGGUUCUAGGGAUUUGAUUGGGAUAUCUUUGGGGUGAGGGGGGAUAUUUUUCAGCCUGCCACACCCACUUCCCUUCUUCUGGCCUCUUCCAGAAAAUGAUGGCCCCUCUGAGCCCCGAGUUCCCCUUCAGCUUUGAAGUUCUGCAGGUGAUCCUCAGACAGCCUAGCCUGCAUUGCCAAGUUCACGACAAUGUUAUCUCAAUAGAGUACCUGAUAUUUUUUCAAAGCACUUUCCCAUCUGUUAUUUUGCUUCAUGCUCCUGAUCACCUCUCGGGGCACACAGGGCAAUUAAUAUUAAACCCAUUUAAUUGAUGAAACAACAGAGGCCCAAAAACUCCUAACUCACUUUCUCCUUGAGUUAGUCAGCUAAUGGGAACCAGGAGCAGGCCAGGUGGUUUCCCAGGGCAUGCUUUUUUUUUUUCUCUCUCUCUUUCAUUGUAUAUAGCCUUUCACCACCACAGGCUUUGUUCUGGAAGCCCAGGAAGGUAGGCAAGUCAAAGCUUGUCAUGUAGAUCCAAGCCCACCCUGAAUCCCUGAUUCAUAUCCCCUGGAGAGUGUGGCAGGAACUUCAUUUGCACUCCCUGUGGUCCCAGGUGGCAGGUAAGCUCUCAGUCUCUGGCUGUAUACUGUUAGAGACCUCUUCUUCCCGUGGGUAGCUUCCCAAGCAAGGGGGUUUUCCCAAACCUCAAGAACUGCAGGACUAUCAGACAUUAGCAGAAUUAGAUCUGCCUGGCCUCCGGGCCAAAAAAAGAUUUCAAUUGUUUCAGGACAGAUUAAAUUCAGGACUGGGAAUAGGGCAGGGGAGGUCUUUUUUCGCAGUCCCACCUGCCUGUGACUUGCAGAUCUGGACGAAGAAUUUCCUGUCCUAACUAGGCCUCAGUUUCCCUGAAAUAACAUCGAUUAGGUGGGAGUGGGUGUGGGUCAGUAGGAUUUCCUCUUACCCCCAGCCCUUUUCAAUCUAAUUCAGAAAUGAGGAUGAAGCCAAGUGUUUGGAGUUCUUGCGAAGAAAGAUACAACAGCCACACAAGGUAUUAUUAACUUUAUUACUUGUCAGGAAGAGGUGGGGGAAGCAGUUAAGAUUCGGCUAGAUGAGAGGUGAGUGUACUGCAUUACAAUCUCUGGAGGGUGUGGUGGGCAUAUGAGCUGGAAAGGACCAUUAUUUAUUUACUACUUUUGUUAAGUGCCUGUAAUGUGCUGGGUGCUAUGCUGGAUGUGUGUGUAACACAGACACAUAAACCAUUCAGGGUCAACCUUGCGUGGGUGGGAGGAGGUUAAAAGCACUUGCAUCUUCUUCUCCCUGAAAACAGAAACAUCUUCCUCCUUGGCCUACCAUGGUGCCAGCAAUCUCCAGCAUUAGCGAUGGCUCCUUGGGGGUAACCUGCAGAAGCUUCUUAACUGGGUUAAGGCAUCUUAUUACCUUGCAGGAGUAAGGCAAUCGCCAGCUCACUGAUAGUACACAAUGAUUUCGCUCAUUCCAUCCACUCUUGGCCAUUGGUGCAGCAGGAAGGGCCUUGGGGUCCUCCAAUUUGGACAGUGGGGAGGACUUGGCCCUGGGCUGACAGAUUGCUGCUUGGCAGGUUUAUGGGAGCCAGGCGUCAGCAUGGUGUGACGUGGGGAGGCAAGAGUCAAUGCCAAUGCAGGCAGCCCCCUCCCACCAAGCAAAGCGGCUUACAGACUUCGGAGAGGAAACAAAACAUCUACAUGCAAAUGUUGAACCAGAUUUCAGAGCAAGAGAGCAACUUCAAGAGCCAAGGCAGUUCCAACUACCAGGUGUUUAAUACCUUUUCAGCUUGGGUGGAUCAUGGAUCUCUUUGAGAAACUGAGGAGACAGUCUUGGAUUCUCUCUCUGUCUCUCUCUCUCUCCCCCACCUCCCCCUCUCUUGCACCUUCUUCUCCCUGCAAACAAAAUCAGAGUCCUGCUCUGUCACCCAGGCUGGAGUGCAGUGGUGCCACCUUGGCUGACUGCUAGCCUUGAACUCCUAGGCUCAAGUGAUCCUCCUGCCUCAGCCUCCCAAAGUGUUAGAAUUACAUGCGUGAGCCCCCACACCUGGCCUGGAUCCUCUCUUUUGUAGAAAAUGCACUUGCAUAGCAAACACACACACACAUACACACCUCUCACUUUUUUAAUGAAAUGUCAGGGUGUCUGCUGAUGCCUGAAGCACAUCCGAGGGCCGCAGUGAGAUAUUCUUCUUUGGAAGUGCUCAACAACCCUGGGAGGUAGGUGUGGCAGGGUCUCUUUUCAUACACCAUAAAACAGAGACCCAGAGGCAGCUCGCAACUUGCUCAGGUCAUGUAUUAGUGAGCAUCAGAGGCAGGCCAGGACCCCCAAUUGCACAGGUCUAGGAAGCACCAUUUCAUCCAAGUCUAUGUUGCAUGCCAAAGAGUGUCACUGACAGAGAACACAGUGAGACCACUGCUACCGCCCUGGAGUUAGGCAGUGCAGCAGCUCUAGAGGACCUCAGCCAGGGUCUUCUGAUAACCAUUUACAGGCAUAUAUGCAAAAAGCCCCACGGGGUGACAGAGGUAAGGAGUCCUGGAGGGGGAUCAGAGAGGGAUGCAAUUGCCGAAGACUUGGAUGCCUAAGCUUGCAAAUGGAAGACUAUUUCUAAAUCAUUUAUUCAUUCCACAGCUUCAUAGGUGGAGGUGAUUCAUAGGUGGUUCCUAUGUGAAUUUCAGUUCCCCUUCCCCCCGACCUAGAGUAAAAUCCACACUCUUAUUUAUUUAUUUAUUUAUUUUGAGAUGGAGUUUCACUCUGUUGCCCAGGCUGGAGUACAGUGGCAUCUCGGCUCCCUGCCACGUCUGCCUCCCAGGUUCAAGCAAUUCUCCUGCCUCAGCCUCCCAAGUACCUGGGAUUACAGGUCACCACCACCGCGCCAAGCUAAUUUUUUGAUUUAUACUAGAGACGGGGUUUCACCAAGUUGGCCAGGAUGGUCUCGAACUCCUGACCUCAAGUGAUCUGUCCACCUCGGCCUCCCAAAGCGCUGGGAUUACAGGCAUGAGCCACCGCACCUGGCCAAAAUCCACACUCUUCAUAGCGAUCUCUGUGGCUCAGCAGGGACCCCUCCAUGCCUCUCUGUCUCUCCUCUCUCUUGCCACUGCCUUUCUUGUUCAUUACACUCCAGCAACCCUGACCUUCUGUCAGUUCCUAGCGCUUGCCAAGCUUUCCCCUCCCCAGGGCCUUUGCACUUGCUGUUCCUCCUGCCUUGGAAGAUUCUAGCCCUGGCUGUUCCCAGGGCUGGCUCCGUCUCAUCCUUCAGCUCUCAUCUUGAAUGUCACUUUCUCAGAGAGAUCUUCUUUGACUUUAUCUAAGAAUAUCCCUCCACUAUUCUCUAGCCAUCUGUUUCUUUUUAGCACGUAUAACAAUCUGUAACUGUUUUAUGUCUUAAUUUGCUUAUGUAUUUAUUAUCUAUCUCUCCCUUGAUCAUAGAAAACAUGGUAAAGAUUGUAGCUACGGUGUCCUGUUCACCAUUCUAUCCCUAGCCCCUAGCACGUAUUAAGGGUUCAAUAAUUGCAGACUGAAUGACUGAAAGGCAUGUUUGGAAGCAGAAGUAUUCCUCGGCCACCACUUUAUCUUACUUAGUGCAGUAAUGCAAUCAACAUUUGGCUCCUGCUGUGAUGCUACCCUGAUCUCGGGCUGGUGAAAGCGUGACUCUCCAAGAUGAGCCAUCCAAGAAACCACAUAGAAAAGAUCAAGGUCCCAUAACUUCAGCUUGGGGAAGCAAGAACAAAUGUGGCAUUCCUCACUUAAGAAAGAAGA